rnacentral:tRNA from 1 species
GAUGGCCAUGGGAGGCAUCAUUGCUGCAGGAGCGCUGCUGGUGCUGCCGCUCUAUCGGCGGAUCGGUGCCAAGCCGACGGUCAUCGCC